GCCCAGAUGGUGGAAUUGGUAGACACGAGGGACUUAAAAUCCCUUGACCAUUGCGGUCGUACGGGUUCGAGUCCCGUUCCGGGCACCA
rnacentral:tRNA from 1 species